ensembl:lncRNA
UUUUGAAAAUAUGAGGAUCUGGAUUCCAGCUCUGGGGAUCUGGAGAAAGGAGAGAAAACAGAAGGGAUGGUGGGGGGAAGAACUAAAAAGAGAAAAACAGGAUAAAUACUAUGCUAUGCAGUUGAAGAGCAUCUUGAAUGUAUUUUUUAAAAAUAUUAUUUGCAUUUGUAACCUGACAAAACUCUGGGAAAUGCAGGGAGGAGAAGUACUGCUAUUCUGUGUGAUAAAUCAUAUAUGUGUGAAUUACCUAUUGGCAAAUAUUUUUUGCCCUUUUAAAACAAUAUUGUUUCUUCUCCCUUAAAAAAAGAAUUGUUCUCUUUAAGUAAGUGAAAAGGUGCAGGGAACAAGAGGGAUACUGUUCUGUUGCUUGAUUGAUGAUCAGAACAAGUUACCAAAACUUCAUCAUGCUAAAUAUUAUAUAGAUUUUUUUUUUUCUCUGAGUAUACUCUGUAAGGCUUCUCCUAACUGCCCUUUCAUCUUUUCUCAGGAGAUGUUCCUGAUAUGUUCACUGAUGAAGAUGUGGAGGGCAAAGUUGCAGGAGUCAGAAGAGUCAGAAAAGAAGUCCCUGAUCUGGGCUUGAUGAACACCACUUUCUAGCUGAUGGAGGUUCUUCUUUGGUUGAAUGCAGUAGUUGUUAAAGCUGUUUUAUAUGCUGCUCCUUCAAGGCAUCGCACUACAUACAAGUAGAAGAUCUAAACUUCAAACUUGCUUCACAAGAGGCAGAACUGCAACUGAAAAAUCAAGAUGCUGAAGCUUUGAUCGCUAAGAUAGGAUUUCAGACUGAGAAAGUGAGCCAAGAAAAGGCCAUUGUCAAAGCAGAGGAGCAAAAGUUUGUGUGCUUUGAAUGCUUCCAGCCAGAGAGAUUCACAGAGGAAGAUGCAUGUACCAUUGCCUUUUAAGAUGGGAACACUCCCAGAAGAAGAAAUAAAACAGAGCAGGUUGCAGGUUAAUCUUACAGAACUGAAAGCCUUCGCCAACACACCAGUGACUGCAACCAAUGGUAUUGCUCCAGUAGUGGUUUUUACUGACAUAUGACGAGAAAGUGCCCAAAGACCAAAGCUGGAAACCUCUGGAAGUCUUUAUGGGAAACUUAAUGGCCAGUGUACGAUGGAGUCGAGAUGUUGUGCAUCGUUCCAGGAGAAUACUAAAUUAGGAACAGCUAAAGAGAAUCUACACGCAAUCAAGAAGAAGCUUACCGUAAGCAAUACUUUAUUUAUAAGCAUACUUCUCUAAUGUCUUGAGCCCAUUCAAUUUAACUACUUUAUUUAUUUAUUUUGUUUUUAUUUUAAUUGAUUUUAUUACUUCCUAGCUAAAGUAUUAAGGAUAUAUUUACAUUGAGCAUUGUCAUUAUUUUUUCCUACUGCACAACAUUCAGUGGUUUUGGUGAGAGUACAUGAAGCUAUUCCUAAGAAAUGGCUGAAUAUCCUGAAAGUCAUCUGGAUGUGUUACCCAAAUAGAUUAGUAAACCAAAAUGAGAGUUGGUACAAAUAAUUGGUUAUGAUUUUUACUACAUAUAUAUGCUGAGUGUUUAUAGGUAAGCUAUUGGACUAUCGGAAUAACUACUGCAAAGGACUGUGGCACCUCCAGCUCAUCUGUGCUCAUGCUUGUCAUUAAAGUAUCACCAGAUCUCCUCUGAUUUUUUUGAAAGGCCUCCAAACACAUACACAUGUGCACGUGCAUUACAAGUGGAAAAUUUGACUAUGCACUUUUACUGACAAAAAUCUUUUUUAUUAAAGACUGAACAGAAGAUUAUGUUUACCAGCAAGUACCCAUC